ACGGGAAGAGCCCAAACCAACAAGCUUGCUUGUUGGGGUUGUAGGACACUCUAUACGGAGUUACAAAGGACGACAUUAGACGAAUCAUCUGGAAAGAUGAAUCAAAGAAGGUAAUAAUCCUGUAGUCGAAAAUGUUGUCUCUCUUGAGUGGAUCCUGAGUACGACGGAGCACGUGAAAUUCCGUCGGAAUCUGGGAGGACCAUCUCCUAAGGCUAAAUACUCUCUAGUGACCGAUAGUGAACCAGUACCGUGAGGGAAAGGUGAAAAGCACCCCGGAAGGGGAGUGAAAUAGAACCUGAAACCGUGUGCUUACAAGUAGUCAGAGCCCGUUAAUGGGUGAUGGCGUGCCUUUUGUAGAAUGAACCGGCGAGUUACGAUUUGAUGCAAGGUUAAGCAGUAAAUGUGGAGCCGUAGCGAAAGCGAGUCUGAAUAGGGCGUUUAGUAUUUGGUCGUAGACCCGAAACCAGGUGAUCUACCCUUGGUCAGGUUGAAGUUCAGGUAACACUGAAUGGAGGACCGAACCGACUUACGUUGAAAAGUGAGCGGAUGAACUGAGGGUAGCGGAGAAAUUCCAAUCGAACCUGGAGAUAGCUGGUUCUCUCCGAAAUAGCUUUAGGGCUAGCCUCAAGUGAUGAUUAUUGGAGGU
rnacentral:rRNA from 1 species